rnacentral:rRNA from 1 species
UCCGUAGGUGAACCUGCGGAGGGAUCAUUUUUGAGUGUAGCUCGGUUCUGUCUGACAGGCUGACGCUGCUUUGCCUCGGCUAGCGAUGCUGGUAGGUUGUUUGUCGUACGCGGCGAGCACCUGCUAGCUACGCUUCGCGACUGUCUUGUACAGUUGCGUAAGAAAUACCUUCUUGCGCUUCGGCGCCCCUUUUUUGUUUGUCAUACCUAGACUAAUGUGUAGAAACUGUGAAUACUAAAAGUAUUACUCUAAACGGUGGAUCACUCGGGUCAUGUAUCGAUGAAGAACGCAGCGAAAUGCGAUAGCUGGCGUGAAAUGCAGAAAUCUGUGAACGUUGAAUUUUCGAACCUAAAUGGGUCAGACAGUUUAUUCUGUCUGAACGUUCGUUUGAAUGCUGGAUAGUUACUAAAGCUAAACUGCUACUCCGGUAACAGCGAGGCUAUGCCAUGGCUAUUCUGUUGGCGAUUGGGUCGAUGGAUGGCUGAAUUCACUUGUCGUUUCGACGACAACCGGUAAGGUGGCUAGCUUGCGUAUGCAGCUAGUGUCUCUGGUGAUUUUUCUUGAGGCUCUACUGCAGCUUUGCGCUUUGCACGGCUCACCUUCAACCUAUCAGCUUCAAAUCGAGCGAGGCUACCCGCUGAAUUUAAGCAUAUCAAUA